UUUGGAAGCAAGAGAAAGGAGAAUAUAGAACACGUAAAAGAAAGAGAUUCACAAAAACUAAUUAAUUGAGCAACUCCUAAUAAAUAUGUUCCAAGUAACAAAAGGUUAAGUAAAUGAAGAAGCAAGUGACAAAUCACAUGAUUAAAGAAUGCAUUUUCUGCAGAAACUGGGUUUGACAGGUAUUUCCCCUAGAGUUGCCUAUUACACAUUUAACUAUCAUUCGCGCCAAGAAUUGGUACUCCACAUUUGCUUGACCUCAUGCACAUCAUAUUUACAAAUUUUAAUAACCUGACGUUCAGCAUGUGCUCAACAACAUAACAAAGUCCUCUUGCACGUAUUGUUCAGGUGUUGAUUGUUAAAAUCUCACUUCAUAUCUACACCUUUAGAAACUUCAGAACAAUUUCGUAGUUUUCUUAGAAAGAGAUCGUCAUUGUCCGAUAGAUGUGCUGGUUGUCGUGGCAUCUGCAGAGAAUCCCUUACCAACCAUUUCAUCAAGAAAUUGACUUGCCUUUGCUACAUGCUUGCACUUAAGAAACUCUUGAAUGAUCACAUUAUUACAGUAAUCAUCUGAUAAACAUCCACGCUCUCCCAUUCCUCUAAAGACCUUGUAUGCUUCAUUUAGUAAUCCUUCUUUGCAAAGUCCUUUAAUUAUUCUACGAUACGUAUAAACAUCAUGUUGUGAACCAUUUUCAAAAAACCUAGAAAAUAGUUCCUUGGCAUAAUUAAUCUUCCCAGCUUUGCACAUACCAUCGAUUGAAAUAUUAUGGAACACAAGUUCGGGCUCCAGUUUGCCUUU
rnacentral:misc_RNA from 1 species